UUAAUAGAUGAACUGGGAAAACUUAACGUCAAAAUGUGGAAACUUAUUUUAACUAUUUCUCUUCUCGUGGUGUUGAAUGCAGGUAGCGGCAUGUGUCGAUCUUGUAGUAAUUGUCCGGAUAGUGAGUUAGUGAAUUGUUUCGUUAGUCCAUGCCUCAAUCAUAAAUGUCCAUGGAACAAAAGGUGCUGUGAAAACUACUGUGGAGGAUGUUAUUACAAGUGUAUCUACUGAUGGUAUGUCUUGUGACAUGUCAACAUUUAUUUUCCUCUACUGACAAAAAAAAAGUAUUUGAAACAUUUUUCCA